rnacentral:rRNA from 1 species
GACGAACGCUGGCGGCGUGCUUAACACAUGCAAGUCGAACGGAAAGGCCCUGCUUUUGUGGGGUGCUCGAGUGGCGAACGGGUGAGUAACACGGGAGUAACCUGCCCUUGACUUUGGGAUAACUUCAGGAAACUGGGGCUAAUACCGGAUAGGAGCUCCUGCUGCAUGGUGGGGGUUGGAAAGUUUCGGCGGUUGGGGAUGGACUCGCGGCUUAUCAGCUUGUUGGUGGGGUAGUGGCUUACCAAGGCUUUGACGGGUAGCCGGCCUGAGAGGGUGACCGGCAACAUUGGGACUGAGAUACGGCCCAGACUACUACGGGAGGCAGCAGUGGGGCAUAUUGCACAAUGGGCGGAAGCCUGAUGCAGCACCGACGCGUGCGGGAUGACGGCCUUCGGGUUGUAAACCGCUUGCGCCUGUGACGAAGCGUGAGUGACGGUAAUGGGUACAGAAGCACCGGCUAACUACGUG